GUGGGGAAUAUUGCACAAUGGGCGAAAGCCUGAUGCAGCAACGCCGCGUGAGUGAUGAAGGCCUUCGGGUCGUAAAGCUCUUUGAUCAGGGAUGAUAAUGACAGUACCUGAAAAACAAGCCACGGCUAACUACGUGCCAGCAGCCGCGGUAAUACGUAGGUGGCGAGCGUUGUCCGGAAUUACUGGGCGUAAAGGAUGCGUAGGUGGAUAUUUAAGUGGGAUGUGAAAUCCCCGGGCUCAACCCGGGAACUGCAUUCCAAACUGGAUGUCUAGAGUGCAGGAGAGGAAAGCGGAAUUCCUAGUGUAGCGGUGAAAUGCGUAGAUAUUAGGAGGAACACCAGUGGCGAAGGCGGCUUUCUGGACUGUAACUGACACUGAGGCAUGAAAGCGUGGGUAGCAAACAGGAUUAGAAACCCUAGUAGUCC
rnacentral:rRNA from 1 species